UACGUAGGGGGCAAGCGUUGUCCGGAUUUAUUGGGCGUAAAGGGCGUGUAGGCGGCCAUGUAGGUCCGUUGUGAAAACUCGAGGCUCAACCUCGAGACGCCGAUGGAAACCAUGUGGCUAGAGUCCGGAAGAGGAGAGUGGAAUUCCUGGUGUAGCGGUGAAAUGCGCAGAUAUCAGGAGGAACACCGGUGGCGAAGGCGGGUCUCUGGGCCGAUACUGACGCUGAGGAGCGAAAGCGUGGGGAGCAAACAGG
rnacentral:rRNA from 1 species